ACAGAGGUCUCAAGCGUUGUUCGGAUUCAUUGGGCGUAAAGGGUGCGUAGGUGGCGAUGUAAGUCUGGUGUGAAAUCUCGGGGCUCAACCCCGAAAUGGCAUUGGAUACUGCGUCGCUCGAGGACUGUAGAGGAGAGAGGAAUUCACGGUGUAGCAGUGAAAUGCGUAGAUAUCGUGAGGAAGACCAGUUGCGAAGGCGUCUCUCUGGGCAGUUCCUGACACUGAGGCACGAAGGCCAGGGGAGCAAACGG
rnacentral:rRNA from 1 species